rnacentral:misc_RNA from 1 species
GAUGAAGAACGUAGCGAAAUGCGAUACGUAAUGUGAAUUGCAGAAUUCAGUGAAUCAUCGAAUCUUUGAACGCAAAUUGCGCUCUUUGGUAUUCCGAAGAGCAUGCUUGUUUGAGCGUCAUUUGUACCCUCAAGCUUUGCUUGGUGUUGGGCGUCUUGUCUCUAGCUUUGCUGGAGACUCGCCUUAAAGUAAUUGGCAGCCGGCCUACUGGUUUCGGAGCGCAGCACAAGUCGCACUCUCUAUCAGCAAAGGUCUAGCAUCCAUUAAGCCUUUUUUUCAACUUUUGACCUCGGAUCAGGUAGGGAUACCCGCUGAACUUAAGCAUAUCAAUAAGCGGAGGA